GACGAACGCUGGCGGCGUGCUUAACACAUGCAAGUCGAGCGGUAAGGCCCUUUCGGGGGUACACGAGCGGCGAACGGGUGAGUAACACGUGGGUGACCUGCCCUCAGCUCUGGGAUAAGCCUGGGAAACCGGGUCUAAUACUGGAUAUCGACUCCAUGACGCAUGUUGUGGGGUGGAAAGCCUUGUGCGGCUGAGGAUGGGCCCGCGGCCUAUCAGCUUGUUGGUAGGGUAACGGCCUACCAAGGCUCCGACGGUAGCUGGUCUGAGAGGACGAUCAGCCACACUGGCACUGCGACACGGGCCAGACUCCUACGGGAGGCAGCAGUGAGGAAUAUUGCGCAAUGGGCGAAAAGCCCUGACGCAGCGACGCCGCGGUGGGGAUGAAGGUCUUCGGAUUCGUAAACCCCGUUUCGGGAGGGAAGA
rnacentral:rRNA from 1 species